rnacentral:lncRNA from 1 species
CGACCGGUACGCCUACCGGUACUGGUUCGGCGAUCCUUGAUCAUGGAUGAACUCAAGGACUGCCGAAUCGGUACCGUAAUCCAUACCGGUUGACGGUCGGUAUAGUUCGGUACCGAACCGGAAUGGUGCAACACUAUGACAAUAAUGCCACAGUGCCCACAGUCAACCCGCUGAAACUGGGUUGACUUGGUGCGAACUGACCGGUUUGCACCAAGUCGGCAUCGAACCAGCUGGUUCUGGUUGGUUUCGGCCAGUUCCGGCUAGAAAAGAAUCAGUUCCAGCCGGUCUCUUUGCAGUUCUGGCCCAUACGGGGCGGAACCAAAUUAAAAUGGCGACCCGAUCCGGUUUUGCAUCGGGUUGGCUCGGUACUACUUGAACCGGGCGACUCAGCCCGGUUCGCAAACCUUGGAUAAACUUGUUAUUUAAUAAUGUAACAUGUGAUGUUGAAGAUGAUACAACGUGAGUUGAUGAGUUUAGUGUUAAAUGCUAAUUUGAGAUUAUGGUGGAAAUGUAUGGUAGACGAGGGGCUGGUUUUUAGGACAGCUAAAG